CUCUCUCUCUCUCGGAUCUCGGAUCUCGGAUCUCGGAUCUCGGAGGACUAAAAGAAGGCAAAGAACCUUCAGUUUCAGUUCUCAGUUACCGACAUUCAAAAACCGGAGAUGGGAUCUGGUGCUGGAAGUUUCCUCAAAGUUCUCUUUAAAAACUUCGAUGUUCUUGCUGGGCCUGUGGUUAGUUUGGUUUAGCCACUGUUGUUGUGGAGUAUGGCUUUGUUCAUUUCCAGAAGAAUCGUACGUUCAUUUGGUUCUGGUUUAGCAUCAGGCCAUGUUUCCAAGAAACUACAAUUUCCAGACCCAGCGACCUGUUUCUGUAAAACUGUAAUUUUCUGUUAAUAAUUUGAAGUUAUUUUCUUCUGAGAAUUUGUAGUGGACUUGUUAAAGAGUAUUU